UACGAAGGUCCCAAGCGUUGUUCGGAAUCACUGGGCGUAAAGGGUGCGUAGGCGGCGCGGUAAGUCGGGUGUGAAAUCUCGGAGCUUAACUCCGAAACUGCAUUCGAUACUGCCGUGCUUGAGGACUGGAGAGGAGACUGGAAUUUACGGUGUAGCGGUGAAAUGCGUAGAUAUCGUAAGGAAGACCAGUGGCGAAGGCGGGUCUCUGGACAGUUCCUGACGCUGAGGCACGAAGGCCAGGGGAGCAAACGGG
rnacentral:rRNA from 1 species